rnacentral:piRNA from 1 species
UAGACAGCAUGUGCCUGAUAGUGGAGAUU